GAUGAACGCUAGCGGCAGGCUUAAUACAUGCAAGUCGAGGGGCAGCAUGAGUAGCAAUACUUGAUGGCGACCGGCAAACGGGUGCGGAACACGUACACAACCUUCCUUUAAGUGGGGAAUGGCCCAGAGAAAUUUGGAUUAAUACCCCGUAACAUAUAGAUGUGGCAUCACAAUUAUAUUAUAGGUUUACCGCUUAAAGAUGGGUGUGCGGCUGAUUAGAUAGUUGGCGGGGUAAUGGCCCACCAAGUCUACGAUCAGUAGCUGAUGUGAGAGCAUGAUCAGCCACACGGGCACUGAGACACGGGCCCGACUCCUACGGGAGGCAGCAGUAAGGAAUAUUGGACAAUGGACGCAAGUCUGAUCCAGCCAUGCCGCGUGAAGGAUUAAAGGUCCUCUGGAUUGUAAACUUCUUUAUAUGGGACGAAAAAGGGCAUUCUUGCUCACUUGACGGUACCAUAUGAAUAAGCACCGGCU
rnacentral:rRNA from 1 species